GAUGAAGAACGUAGCGAAAUGCGAUACUUGGUGUGAAUUGCAGAAUCCCGUGAACCAUCGAGUCUUUGAACGCAAGUUGCGCCCGAAGCCACUAGGCCGAGGGCACGCCUGCCUGGGCGUCACACGCCGUUGCCCCCCCAUCUACUCCUUCGGGAUUGCGGGGGGCGGAUGAUGGCCUCCCGUGCGCCUCGUCGCGCGGUUGGCAUAAAUGCCAAGUCCUCGGCGACGCACGCCACGACAAUCGGUGGUUGCGAAACCUCGGUUGCCCGUCGUGUGCGGUCGUCGCGCAUCGAGGGCUCGAAAAAAUUGCCGGGCUCCGGCUCGGCUUUCAACGCGACCCCAGGUCAGGCGGGGUUACCCGCUGAAUUUAAGCAUAUCAAUAAGCGGAGGA
rnacentral:misc_RNA from 1 species